CUACGGGAUGCUCCAGUGGGGAAUAUUGCACAAUGGGGGAAACCCUGAUGCAGCAACGCCGCGUGGAGGAUGACGCAUUUCGGUGUGUAAACUCCUUUUAUAUCCCAAGAUAAUGACGGUAGGAUAUGAAUAAGCACCGGCUAACUCCGUGCCAGCAGCCGCGGUAAUACGGAGGGUGCAAGCGUUACUCGGAAUCACUGGGCGUAAAGGGCGCGUAGGCGGGUUGUCAAGUCUUGAGUGAAAUCCAACGGCUCAACCGUUGAACUGCUUGAGAAACUGGCAGCCUAGAGUGAGGGAGAGGUAGAUGGAAUUGGUGGUGUAGGGGUAAAAUCCGUAGAGAUCACCAGGAAUACCCAUUGCGAAGGCGAUCUGCUGGAACUCUACUGACGCUGAGGCGCGAAAGCGUGGGGAGCAAACAGGAUUAGAUACCCUAGUAGUC
rnacentral:rRNA from 1 species